rnacentral:lncRNA from 1 species
UUUUUUCUUUUCCUAUUGGAGGUUUGACACCUAUAUUUUUCUCUGACAUUUUGGAAAUUUGCUUCCCAAAGUCAAAAACAUAAUGCCUAACUUUUCCCGAUUUGGCCAACAUCAACUUUAAGAUUCUGUGGUUAUCUUUUUACCAAGAGAUUUGUCAGUUUUACUGCCCCAGUCAUUUCCUUUUUACUGAUUAGAAUUAGGCCUUUGUGUAGCUGUUCACCUAAUUACUUCCUCUACCUUGUGAAAAAGAGCAGGGACGCUAACAUUUGCUGGGUACCUACUACAUGCCAAAAGUACUUAAUCGUAUGCAGUAAUGUCAUUUAAUUUUCAAAACAACUCUCCAAAGGAAGUGUCACUCUCCUUGUUUGAUUUCUUGCUUCCCAAAUGGAAGGUCCUUUGUAUUAAUAGUAUCUGUCAAAUUUCAUACAAUACUUAAAUAUGUUCUUGAUACGUACUUCAAUAUAACCAACAGAAUGAGGCAGUAUUCGAUAAAGUAAAAAAUAAGAUGAAUAUUUCUAGUGAUUUAUAAGUUACUUGAGGAAAUCAUGCUGUUUAUUCUUUUCCUUUUUAGGUAUUCUUUGUGAAUUUGCUAUUUGUGUGUGAAUAUAUCUGUUGCGAUAAUGAAUAACCAUAUGAAAUGGAUAAUUGUAUGAAAAUUCAUUUGUAAUUCAAUAGAUUGCCAGGGAUUUUAGGUUGGUUAUGAAGGUUUGUUUUUUUUUUUUUUUUCUUUUGGAGAGUGGGGAGAUUGGCAUACAGUUUCAAAUUGUUUAUGUGGAAGUUGGAAGUGUGACUAAGCUCGAAGAAAGGAAGAGAGGGACAAAGAAAGGGAGGAGGUACCCCUAAGUGGGAACCUACCAGGACAUUCAAAGCAAGAGCAGUAAGUUCUGAAUGUUCUGGGACAACCUGGGUGAUAUGCAUGGAUAUGGGCUGUGGAGGCUGAGCAUUUUAAUGAUAACUUAGGGAAACGAGGCAUGGCCAUGGUGUAAAACUCUCAAAUCCCAAGCCCUAAUCCAACCUUAAAAUCCGAGUCUUCUAAAGGGCUGUUUUAACCAUGAAAGGACCAUAAGAAAGGCAAUUCACAGAAAAUGAAGCCAUGUGGCCAAGAAAUAUAAGAAAAACAGUAAAAGCCCUUAAUCUCAAUAGCAAUAGAGUGGAUGCAAAUGAAUAUAAUGAGUUGCCAUGUCGUUCUUACUGGAUUGGAAAAGAAAUUAGAAUGUCUAAAUAACAUGUAUCAUCCAGGAUGUGGGGAAAUGGGAGCUCUUGUACCCUGCAGGCAGGCAUUUAAAUUGGUGCAACCGCUUUGGAUUGCUGCUUUGUAGUAUCUGGUGCAACUGAAGAUGAACAUGCCCUGUGACACAGCAACCGCACUUCUAGGUCAAUACCCUAAUUAUAUUCUUACUGUGGUUCACAAGAAGGUAUGUAAGAGGUCAUUGCCUGAGCACUGUUUAGAAUAGGGGCAAACUGGAAAUCCUCUAAAUGUCUGUCAAUGAAGGAAUAGAUAAAUUGUAAUAUGUUCAUAUAAAAUGCUGCAUAAAUAAGUGAAAUUUAUAAAUAUACUAACGAAUGAAUCUUGAAAACAGAGUUGGGAGAUAAAAGCAAGCUGUUGAAGAACAUGGUCAGUAUCCUCUCACUUAUGUAAGUUAAAAACUCCAAAGAACAUUAUCUAUAUUGGUAAUGGCAUAGACAUGUGUGGUAAAAUAUAAAAAUAUUAACUAAAAGUUCUAUACGCUUCAGGAUAUUGUAUUUUUGCUUAUAUGUAUACCAAUGUCUUCAUGCUUGGCAGUAGGAGAAGAGAAGGGAAGUUGGGGCGGAAAAGAGUAGUGAUAAGAGAAGAUAUAAAGCUAUUUUUAGUUUUAAAUUAAAUCCACAAAGACUAAAUUUGAUGAAGGUGAUGGGGUGUUUGGAAACAUCCAAGACAUAAUGGUUUUUCAGAGGAUGGUUUUCAUAUUCUUUAUAUUCAAGUUUACUUUUUCCUAAUAAUAAAAAACAUAAAGGAGUCAAAUAUUUUUAGAUGCCUGUGGAUUUUGAGAAUCUUACCUCACUCCAGGUUUAUUUCUGAGCUCUAUUAUUCUUUUCAUGUAUAUGAGGCAAAUACAAUUAAAAUUUAAACAUAAAAUACAGUGUUGCUGCUUUUGCUGUAACACAUAAAGUAAGCAUAAAUGAGUCUCAGUUACACAAACAUAAAAAUAAUCAUCCAUCCAGGAAAGUAAUUUAAAACAAAUUAUAGUCAGGGAACUGAAACUGAUACUUUUAACUGUUGAUAUAAAAUGUGAAUUAGAUUGUAAAAACUCAAGAAAAUAAUUAUUAUAAACUAGGUAUAUAUGUGUGUAUCUGGAAUGAAAAUUUGUAGAAAUAGAUAAAAAGCCACAAAAUCCUUUUAGUCUUAGAAAUAAUAAUCUUAAAAUGCUUUUAGUAAAUUACAAAGCUUUUGUUGUCAAAAAGUACUACAGUCUGAUUAGGAAUUACAUUUUCUGUGAUCUAUGCCAUAGACCUCUCCACAUGUGCUAACUUUUCCUGAAAUGUAAAUGAGCAAUGUUUAUGAAAAUAGCUUAUUUUAUUAAUAUUUGAAGUUGAGACUCUCCUCCUGUUUAUCCCAUCAUAUACUCACUGUAUUGUACUUCUUUGUUCCUAGGUUCCCUGAGAGUAUGCAUUGUGUUUGGAAGCUAGGCCUUAGAUGAGAAGAUGGUCCUGGAGGUUGCUACUGGAGAGGAGAUUGGAGCGUGGUUAGAGAUGAAGGGUCAGAGUCCCCAGAGUCUGUGGCAUGCAAAUACUGUUGAAACAAACAGUGGAUCCACUGGACCAGUGCAUGUCUUGUGCCUUUGCACACUUUUUUACAUGCACGUAACCAAGGAUGGCUUCAAGAUCAUGGCCCAAUUAUUAAUCGAGAAAAAGGGAUACAUAAAGUAAGAGCAUGAUGGUGCUUAUCCUAGUGGAGACUUCUCCCUUGGUUGCCAUAGUCAUUGACUAAGCACUUCGUGGGAAUAAAUGUUCCAAUAGCAGAGACUUCCACCAUUAGCAGAACCAUCAGCUCAUAUUUAUUUCACUGCAUAUUUCACUCGAUUACUUGAAAAGACAUAUUUUUAGAGAUAAACUACACUGGGACAGAUAUCAUAACACCGUAGUUUUUUUUGCUAAUUCACAUAUAUUAUUUCUGG